UACAGAGGAGCCAAGCGUUGUCCGGAUUGACUGGGCGUAAAGCGCACGCAGGCGGGGGUGCGCGUGGGGUGUGAAAUCUGGCCGCUUAACGGCCAGGCGCCAUCCCAUACGGCACGCCUGGAGCCUUGCAGAGGUCGGUGGAAUUGCCGGUGUAGUGGUGAAAUGCGUAGAGAUCGGCAGGAACACCCAGGGGGAAACCAGUCGACUGGGCAUCUACUGACGCUGAGGUGCGAGAGCGUGGGGAGCGAACCGG
rnacentral:rRNA from 1 species